ACGCGCGCCUUGUCCCGGCGUUCAGAGUGUGACUCCGCUGCUCUACCUAUACCCGUGUGGAUAACACGCCCGCCCGGAGUGAGGGAUGGGCGCAACAAUAACAUCUUUGUUGGCCCUGUCGAAGGCACCCUUAAGAUCAACGAAAGCUCUGCAGGAGUGAGUGAGGCAGGAUGAGUCUGAUGGGUGCUUAGGCUGAGAGUCACGCCGCAGGGUCAGUGAGGGGUACGGCCGGCAGUAUGGUGACUCCUACGGCGGCGGUAGGUCAUCACAGGAGUACUCAUGUGACAGGAGCAGCAGUUGGGGGGCGGUCACAGGGGAGGGGGCUGAUGGCGAAACCAUGGGAGGGGGAGAUGGUGCCGGGGAGUGGCAGGGUGGCCGGCCUUAUGCUGCAGGGGACGGCCACUGCUCCGGACAUCAUGGCGUAUGGAUAACCUGGAGUCCGAAGUGGCACUUAAUAUUCUCAAUGCUGUGGUGACUAAUAAAGAAGAGGCACAGUGGUCAAGACAGGGACUGGGAAGGCAGACAGAAGAGGAGGAUGGACUGGAUGAGUAACAGCAGUACUAGUAGAAGUAGUAGUAGUGAUAGUUUGAUCAUAGUAGAGAUAGCAGUAAAAUAUCUAGUUGUAUUAUUAGAAGUAGUAGCAAUAGUAGAAGUAAUACCAAUAGUAGAAGUAGCUUGGUCAAAGUAGUAAUGGUAAUAGUAGUGAUAGCAGGAUGUUAUUUAACUGUAUAAAAGAAAGAUUAAAUCCAUAUAUAAAACUUAUUGGGAGGACCAGUAGCAGCAGCAGUAGUAGUAUUAGGAACACCGUGGUCAUAAUAACAGAAGUAGAACCAUAACAAUUCACUAUAUAAAACAAAAAGCACCAAACUAAUAUAGCAUCAACAACAACAGCAACAGUAGCAGUAGUAGUAGUAGUAAUAGUAGCAGCAGUAGUAGUAGUAGUAACAACACUAACUCCAACACUUUACCAACAGGACGACCAGUACUAUGGGUCUGGCUGCGGCAUCCUACCCACCCCCCGGAUGCCCCCAUGCUAACUGCCCUGGCGCGACCCUAACAUUGGCCCUGCACACUCCUGGGGUGUGGUGGGGGGCUUUGUACCAGGGCGGCCGGGGCGGGGGCGGGGUAGAGCAACAGGACUGGGGUACAAGAUGAAGAAAACGUUGCCGGCUAAGAAGAAAAUAGGAGCUAAGGAGGUUAAGACAAGUGGUGGUGGUGGUGGUGGUGCUGGUGGUGUGAAACCGAGGAUAAGACUGUAUCAUCAGUCUGAUGAUAUUUUGAAUAUCAAUUAUUUAACUUCUGCAACACCUGAGGACAAGACAGGAGCCAGCUCCUCCCAGAAUGAGCCCACACCUGCACCUGAGGACACACCCACACCUGCACCCAAGCCUUCACCCACCCCCAGCACCCACUCCAGCAUCCAGCACAGCCCAGGGGAAGGCCCAGGGCAGGCAGCCAAGGGCCGAGGCAGGGGCAGGGGUGUGGCGUGGGGGAGGAGAGUGUGAAGUGUGUGGGUUAGGUUUGUAUGUGGUACUUUGUCUGGGCUGCUCCAUAUGUGGGAGAGCUCGGUUGGUGUAGAGAUGGAUAGAUAGAUGUGUGUGUGUGUGUGUGUGUGUGUGUGUGUGUGUGUGUGUGUGUGUGUGUGUGUGUGUGUGUGUGUGUGUGUGUGUGUGAGGGAUUUGUACUUCAUUCAAGCAUCUUUUAUUUUUACUACUGCUACUAUCUUGUUCACUACUGGAAGAUUAGUACUAAGAUGUGAUUCUUGUUAUUUUUAAGGGUAUUAUUCCAAUGUUUUUUGUAUGAUUGCAUCUCAUUCCUGUUGUACUUUGAGAGAGAGAGAGAGAGAGAGAGAGAGAGAGAGAGAGAGAGAGAGAGAGAGAGAGAGAGAGAGAGAGAGAACAGGCCCCAUUGCACAAACUAAUGAUAAAAAAAACUCACAACCAUUCCAAAAAGUAUAAAUAUGUUAGUUUUGUUAGUAGAUUUUGCAAGAAAGGAAAUUUGAAAUACAGGAGUGUGUGGGAGAGGCAAAGGAUAUGUAGGACGGCAGAUUAGUGUGUGAAGGAUGUGUAGGAGAGGCUGAGGAUAUCCUGUACACUGUGUCAGGAUGGUUAAGGGUGAUUUGGAAGGAAGGUAGUGUGUGAAGGAUGCAUUAGGUAGGAUGUGUAGUAGUGGGUACAAUGUGUUAAGAAUGAUAUGUAUGUUACAGGAGAUAAGGAUGUGUAUUUUCACCACAAGUAUGUGUAGAGAUUGGUGUUAACACAGCAGGAAGGUUUGAUGAAGCUGGACCAUCAUUCCUUGUGUUGUCUUAAUAAAUGUAUGCAAACUGACUGUAAACUCUCUCUCCUUCUAGUGUAUUUAUCAGCUUUUGGGGUCAAGAUGUCACUUUAUUUAUUUAUUUAUUUUUUAUUGUUAUUUUGUUUGUCUUUUUUUUUUUUCUUUGUGUUGGACAGUUUACGAGUCAGUUCCAGUUUUUGUGACGGUGGAUGUGGUUUCUUUCUGUGAUGCUUGUCCUUGCCAUGCCUUCCUUCCCAGUGACUACCAUGUGUAGGCCUGAUGGCUCCUUGCAGCUUCCCUUUUGUACAUCCUUAUGUUACUCCACACUCAGUUUCUCCAUGUGUUGACUGUUUUUCUUUUUUUGUGUCUUCCUCCACUUAUAAAUAACACUCAAACUCACACACACACACUUCAGGUAUUCUCAGAUAUUCAGCAUUCAUUCUUAUCUUGCCUUCCUUCACCUACUCACAGCAUCUCCAGGUCUUCACACUCAGCAUUCCCCCUCAUCUUUCACUCCACACAGUAUCCUUCACUCCACACAGCCUGCCCCCUCAUCCUUCACUCAGCCUCUUCCCUCAUCUUUCACUCAGCUUCCCUCCUCAUCUCUCAGUCCACACAGCCUGCCCCCUCAUCCUUCACUCCACACAGCCUGCCUCCUUAUCCCUCAGUCAGCCUCUUCCCUCAUCUUUCACUCAGCUUCCCUCCUCAUCUCUCACUGCACACAGCCUGCCCCCUCAUCCUUCACUCCUCCACACAGCAUCCCUCAUCUCUAACACCAUCCAAGCCUUACACAUCCACACCUACAUCUACAUCUCACACCUGCAGCAUCCCUGGAAUCACAUCAGUGCCCCCAGGUGACAGGUGAGCUCUAAUUCUAUCCUCCAUUCUGUUUUUCGUCACCACCACCAUCACCACCACCACCAAUAUUUAGGACCUAAAUAUGCUAAUUAUACUGUUUGUCCUGCGUAUUUUUAAUUGUGGAGUAGGGAAGUGGAAGAAUAAUUGAUUUAAUAUUAAGAGCUAAAGUAAGAAUGUAAGAAAAAUAAGGUCUAGUGCAAGAAACUAAUAGGCCUAUGUGCGGUGGUCCAUAUUUCAAACAUGCCUGCGUAUUUCCACCUAUCAUCCCUGUCCAUAAAUUCGUAUAAUCUCUUAAAACUACCUAAUGACUCAGCGCUAACAACCUGGUUCGUUUGUCUCCACCGUGUGGAUUAAUAUAUUCCUUAACUAUCUCGUUGUAUUAAACUGCUUGUAAUGGUUGACGUAUUCUGGUCUGUAUCCUUCAUUUGUAUCUUGUUUGUAUUUUUGUAUUCUUAAGCACUUCAUCUCAAAAUAAUGGCAAAGAUAGUUAGUCUUUGCCAUGCGGAUAAAAUAUUUCCUCAAACUACCUCGUUAAAUUAAUCUGCUUGUAAUUGUUGAUGUAUUCUGGUUUGUGUUCUCCAUUUGUAUCUUGUUCGUAUUGUUAAGCUCUUUGUUCUUUCACCAGGACUGUUAACAAAUGCCACAGGUGAUUGGUCAGGUUCUCAUGGGUGUUCUCAUUAAUGACGCAGGAUCCUCACCAAACCAUCACUGAGUCAUGAUAGUGCCAUUAUCACUUCGUUGACUUUCACUACAGGCUGUAAAACUAUCACCCAAGGAAACACACUUGUAAAUCCCUAACAGUUUGUACUAUACCCUGCUAAAACAUUCGUAAAACCACGAUAACUUCCAGUAAAUCAAAGGAAAUUGCCACUAAACCAUGAAAAUACCCUUGCAAAACUCGUCACCUCACUAAUCAUAAUUUCAAUCACUAAAGUCACGAAAACAUCCUUGGAAAACCAAAUAACUUUAGCUCGGGUUUGUUAAAAGUAGUGGAGGUAUUUUCUUUUCUUCCCUUUUGUUGCCUCAGCCCGGUGUCCCUCUGAUGUGAAAAAAAAAAAAAAACAAGACAUUGAAGCGUUCGAGAUAGCGAAAAAGUUACGAAGCUUCAGCAGACGUGAACUAACGCCUGACUCUAGCCGCGUCGCUCUCUCUACCUCCGUCCGCCGCCCAGGUAAGGUCAUCCCAGCCACGUGCCGCCACCUCGCUCCGCUGCUUCACAAGGCGCUCCACGCGUGCCACAGCCAGCCGGCGCUCCCUAUUGGCGGCCUGAAGACCCACGCACCCCAGCAACAAGGUGAAGGCUGUGCUCUGGCAGGUCGCUCCAGCUUGCCAUCAUAGGUGCUAGCCUGCCCUGAGCGCCCUCCUCUCUGCCUGUGACGCGCCGGGGGUGUCUGGCUGGAUGAGUGGUGACGCUGCAGUGACCUCGCAGACUGGCGGCGGCACUCCCCUGCAAUACGUCCCCUGCAUUGCUGUAACAAAGCAGCCGUGUGAGCGACUCGUGGGCUGGCGCGCCGCCGGUUAAUGAUGUACGAGAGGCUCCCAAAUAUAUAUUAUUUUUAGUUAA